rnacentral:lncRNA from 10 species
GUGGGGCGCUGACGCGCUCCUCCCCGGAGCGUAUGGCAGCGCAGCGCCGGACGGGGCGUUCUCCCUCCCCCCCUCCUCUCGCUUCCAUCUCCGCCGUCUCCUCGGUCUCCCUUCCCAUCCCGGCCCCUCCUCCGCCAGCCGCGUCCUCCCGGGCUUGGUGAGGAACUGUUCCUGGAGGAGCCGCGGGACGCCAAAACCAGCCAAUGGGAAGCGGCGAUUCGCGGAGAUUGGCACUGAUGAUGGGAAGGAAUAUUGAUCUCAGCGUUACUUUGACCAUUAAUGAAUUAUGAUGGCAAUAAGCAAAGAUUCGCACCUCUAGCCUCCGGGGAGCUUAAUCUUCUGCUACAACAUUUGCAUUUGGUGUCUCUCUACUGCUCAGGCUGGAGUGCAGUGGUGCGAUCAUAGCUCACUGCAGCCUCGACUUCCUGGGCUCAGGUGACCCUCUCGCCUGAAACCAUAUUCCCCCUCAAGUAGCUGAGACUACAGAGACAAGGUCUCACUAUGUUGCCUAGGCUGGUCUUCAACUCCUGGCCUGAAGUUAUCCUCUCAUCUUGGACUGCCAAAGUGCUGGGAUUUGGCACCACUGAGCCAAAUCCCAGGCGUGAGCCACUGAGCCUGGGCUGUUCUUCCUUCUUUAUAGGCUUAAAAACCUUCAAAAAUUAUCUCAAGAUUAUCCACUCCAGGAAGAACUUGAGCCUCAUUGAUUGAAUUGGUGUACUUCUCCUCCCUUCCUAUAGCAUUUUCUUUAUGUGUCUAUCCUAGCACUUCUCACACAGUGUUGAAUUCAUCUGUCCACCUGGCUCAUCAUACAAAUUGUUCCAUGAGUUCAAGGAUCAUGCUGCAUGCUGGAUUCCCCCGGAAGCUGAUUCUGAGAUGGAGUUUAGUGUACUAAAUAUUUAUGUGGGCCUUUGGAUCAUCACCUGUGAAAAGGAAGAGAAGGAAGCAGGAGUGGACCUAGGGUGAAGUGAAGCUCUGAUGCAAACCUGACAACUGCCUCACCUGACACCAUGAAGAGCUCUGGAGCUAGAAUGGCCUUUUGUUGUUCUGAAUUGGUGUGAGGUAGCUAGGUCUUUACACCCCUGCCACCACCCAUUAUUGGGUAUGGGCCAACCAGGAAGGGGCAUGACCAUGAGUGAUGCAGCUCUGCAGCUGAAGCAAUAACUGAAGAGGCUGACAGCUGAGGGCCAUCUGCUGACAGUACUCCCUGCAGCUGGGCAGCACAUCCUUUCUCAAAAGGGGAUCAAGGCAGUUGCAUCUCCGUGUCCACCAUGGACUAUAUAUUUUUUCUUUGCAUUCCUAGGGCCUCCCAUAGUAUAUGGCACAUAGUAGGCAAAACUGGAGGUCUGUAGGGCAAAUUCAGCUAGUAGAUGAGUAUUGUUUUUUCACCCACAAAGAGAUUUUUAAAAAUUAGUUGUCAACAUUUAAAAAUAAAAAGAUUUCACAUUGAAA